rnacentral:tRNA from 1 species
UCCCUAGUAGCUCAGAUGGUAAAGCUUCUGACUGCAAUGCAGGAGACCCGGGUUUGAUCCCUGGGUCGGGAA